rnacentral:rRNA from 1 species
UACGGAGGGUGCAAGCGUUAAUCGGAAUUACUGGGCGUAAAGCGUGCGUAGGUGGUUCGUUAAGUCCGUUGUGAAAGCCCCGAGCUCAACUUGGGAAUUGCAGUGGAUACUGGCGAGCUAGAGUGCGGUAGAGGAAGGUGGAAUUCCCGGUGUAGCGGUGAAAUGCGUAGAGAUCGGGAGGAACACCAGUGGCGAAGGCGACUCUCUGGUCUGUAACUGACGCUGAGGCGCGAAAGCGUGGGGAGCAAACAGG